UUUAUGGAGAGUUUGAUCCUGGCUCAGGAUGAACGCUGGCGGCGUGCCUAAUACAUGCAAGUCGAGCGAACGGACGAGAAGCUUGCUUCUCUGAUGUUAGCGGCGGACGGGUGAGUAACACGUGGAUAACCUACCUAUAAGACUGGGAUAACUUCGGGAAACCGGAGCUAAUACCGGAUAAUAUUUUGAACCGCAUGGUUCAAAAGUGAAAGACGGUCUUGCUGUCACUUAUAGAUGGAUCCGCGCUGCAUUAGCUAGUUGGUAAGGUAACGGCUUACCAAGGCAACGAUGCAUAGCCGACCUGAGAGGGUGAUCGGCCACACUGGAACUGAGACACGGUCCAGACUCCUACGGGAGGCAGCAGUAGGGAAUCUUCCGCAAUGGGCGAAAGCCUGACGGAGCAACGCCGCGUGAGUGAUGAAGGUCUUCGGAUCGUAAAACUCUGUUAUUAGGGAAGAACAUAUGUGUAAGUAACUGUGCACAUCUUGACGGUACCUAAUCAGAAAGCCACGGCUAACUACGUGCCAGCAGCCGCGGUAAUACGUAGGUGGCAAGCGUUAUCCGGAAUUAUUGGGCGUAAAGCGCGCGUAGGCGGUUUUUUAAGUCUGAUGUGAAAGCCCACGGCUCAACCGUGGAGGGUCAUUGGAAACUGGAAAACUUGAGUGCAGAAGAGGAAA
rnacentral:rRNA from 1 species